CUAUACAUGACUCUGCGCAUAUCAAUAAGCGGAGGAAAAGAAACUAACAAGGAUUCCCCUAGUAACGGCGAGUGAAGCGGGAAGAGCUCAAAUUUGAAAUCUUAAAGGGUUUCCCUUUACGAAUUGUAGUUUAAAGAAGUGUUUUCUGUUGAGGUUUUGGUAAAAGUUCUUUGGAAUAGGACAUCAUAGAGGGUGAGAAUCCCGUAUUUGACCUUUACUUUCAACUUUGUCGAUACACUUUCAAAGAGUCGGAUUGUUUGGGAAUGCAGUCCAAAAUGGGUGGUAAAUUUCAUCUAAAGCUAAAUAUUGGCGAGAGACCGAUAGCGAACAAGUACCGUGAGGGAAAGAUGAAAGGAACUUUGAAAAGAGAGUUAAACAGUACGUGAAAUUGUCAAAAGGGAAGCGUUUGACACCAGUGUUGUUUUUCUGAAAAUCAAUUAAAGAACUGUUUAUGCUAAGUUGUUUAGACUUUAUCAGCUAUCUGUUUAGUUUUGAGCUUUUCUUUAAUGCACUUUUCAGUUAACAAGUCAACAUCAAUUUCUUUUGCUGUAAAAAAGCUUGAGGAAGGUGGCUUGAGAUUCGUCUUAAGUGUUUAUAGCCUCUUGCCUAUGCAGUCGGAGAGAUUGAGGUCUGCAGCGUAGAUCCUUCGGGGCUAAAUGCAUUUGUGCUAAGUUAUAGCAUUUUAUAGACAACUUGUUGACUAUGAUUUGUCUUGUAGCUUACUCGCUUAUGUUAUUUUACCUACGCUUAGGAUGUUGAUCUACAGAGCGAGAGU
rnacentral:rRNA from 1 species